rnacentral:rRNA from 1 species
AGCGAACGCUGGCGGCAGGCCUAACACAUGCAAGUCGAACGAAGUCUUCGGACUUAGUGGCGGACGGGUGAGUAACACGUGGGAACGUACCUUUUGGUUCGGAACAACUCAGGGAAACUUGAGCUAAUACCGGAUGAGCCCUUAGGGGGAAAGAUUUAUCGCCGAAAGAGCGGCCCGCGUUAGAUUAGCUAGUUGGUGAGGUAAAGGCUCACCAAGGCUACGAUCUAUAGCUGGUGUGAGAGGAUGAUCAGCCACACUGGGACUGAGACACGGGCCAGACUCCUACGGGAGGCAGCAGUGGGGAAUCUUGCGCAAUGGGCGAAAGCCUGACGCAGCCAUGCCGCGUGAAUGAUGAAGGUCUUAGGAUUGUAAAAUUCUUUUACCAGGGACGAUAAUGACGGUACCUGGAGAAAAAGCCCCGGCUAACUUCGUGCCAGCAGCCGCCGUAAAAC